rnacentral:rRNA from 1 species
CCUACGGGGAGCUGCAGUGAGGAAUAUUGGUCAAUGGGCGCGAGCCUGAACCAGCCAAGUAGCGUGAAGGAUGACUGCCCUACGGGUUGUAAACUUCUUUUAUAAAGGAAUAAAGUUAGGCACGUGUGCCUUUUUGUAUGUACUUUAUGAAUAAGGAUCGGCUAACUAAGUGCUAGCAGCCGCGGUAAUACGGAGGAUCCCAGCGUUAUCCGGAUUUAUUGGGUGUAACGGGAGCGUAAAUGGGUUGUUAAGUCAGUUGUGAAAGUUUGCGGCUCAACCGUAAAAUUGCAAUUGAUACUGGCAGUCUUGAGUACAGUUGAGGUAGGCGGAAUUCGUGGUGUAGCGGUGAAAUGCUUAGAUAUCACGAAGAACUCCGAUUGCGAAGGCAGCUUACUAAACUGCCACUGACAUUGAUGCUCGAAAGUGUGGGUAGCAAACAGGAUUAGAUACCCCAGUAGUC